rnacentral:rRNA from 1 species
AAGCCUACGGAGCGCAGCAGUGGGGAAUAUUGCGCAAUGGACGAAAGUCUGACGCAGCGACGCCGCGUGAGGGAUGAAGGUUUUCGGAUCGUAAACCUCUGUCAGGAGGGAAGAAAGCGCAUGGCGCCAAUCAGCCAUGCGUUGACGGUACCUCCAAAGGAAGCGCCGGCUAACUCCGUGCCAGCAGCCGCGGUAAUACGGAGGGCGCGAGCGUUAAUCGGAAUUACUGGGCGUAAAGCGCGCGUAGGCGGCCUGCUAAGUCUGGAGUGAAAGGUACCGGCUCAACCGGUAC